CAAGAGCAUCUCAUCCUCCCGCUGCUGAGUCAUCCUGCUCUGGCAGUUAUUUAAACAGAAGCCUCCAGGAGACAUAUAAUCAACACUGCACUCAGACAAUGCCCAGACCUCCAGAAAUCAUGUGUCAAGCUCGGAUUGCCUUAGACAGGUGCAAUUUGAAAACAGCUUUCAUCUUCUUUUCUGUCAUGUUGGUACACUAUGGGUUCUGACUUCUGACUCCUUUUCUCACAAGAAGUUCAUCCACCUGUCACUCUUAUGGGACCUUGGCACCAGAGACAGCAAUUCAUCUUUGAAGUUCUCUAACAGCAACAGUGGUAUUUCUGACUUGGCUUUCUUGUAUUUCUCUCACGUUGACAAAAUUGGUUGAGCAUCUACCAUGGGCUGCAUGUGAGCUACAGGUGCUGUUGAUGAAACUGCUAAAGGAGCUGAAUGUGACUGACGUCUUUGGAAGGAUGAGACUUAGCGUGCCUGUACAGUUGUGUCUAAAUGCUGUCCUUACCUCCCAAAGGAAAGCUGAACUAGGGCCAUGCCUGGGACAGACAGAGCACGGCCUUCCAGCAGACAUGGCAAGGAGCAAACCAGGGUCAGCGAGUGAAGAGGAGGGCAGGCCCAUUUGAAGCAACACUGUUUAUGUAAGUGUGAUCUAACUGCUUUCACUGAAAAUGGGUCAGACUCCAGUUGAGAAAACCAGGGGUCUCAAUGACUUCAGCAAAAUCACUCGGCAUUUCUUUCAGCACCUCCGAGGAUAUGGCCCUGUGACGACGUAAUGACGUUUGGAUUAAUUUCAGUUGGCCGUGUUUCCCCCUCCUUUCGUGCUUCCUCAUACUUGAUUUGCUCAUUCGUUUUUUUGUUUUGCUUAAAUACACUAAACUAAACAGGAUACAUUAUAUGACAGUUCGUGAUAAAUUUACCACUGGGAAUAGGGAAAAAGUAUGGGAUAAAGAAAUAGGUCUUUUUCGCCUCUCACAGCUGUGAUUCAGUUCUGACUCAAAAGGAAGUGUGCCACCUACUGAAUCACAGAAACCACUUCCUGUGGCUGUUUGGUUUAUUCUGGAGGAGCAUCAGGCCAAGUGCUGCCCUGCCCUGACCCUGGCGGGCUCUUCAGAGCCAAGGCAUUCACAGCUUGAGGUGGUUUGGCCUCAGACUCUUGAGAACAUUGCAUAUUAAAUUACAAGUGUUUCGUUUCCUAGCAAGGAGUCUUUAGCAACAUGCAAACGAACAUGUGUUAUUUGCAAACCAAGUGUAUCAUUACUGAACCUGAAUAUCCUUACUUUCUCAUAAGGUAUGUAUUCCGGAUGACCAGUCUUAAGAUCUGAAUGUACACUGGCUCUGUUUUUACUGAGGGCAACAUGGACAGUCUGCAGGGUUGCAUUAACCAACUGAGGGAGUUCAAGAGUACCCUUUAGUCGGUGAAGCAACACUGAACUUGUAUUCACUCACUCAACGUAUUUUUGGGCAUGUGCUUAUUGCCAUGUGCCGAGCUAGGUAGGGGUAGAGGAUACAGUGAUAAACAAGACCCUGCAGCUCCUGAUCUCAUGGCUCAUGUGUUCUACACUGUAAGGGAAUUACGCUCUGUUCCCGGGGCAGGGGCCUUCCUCUGUUCACCAUGCAGCCCCAACAUCUAGCACUUGGCCUUGCAUAAAAGAACCUCUAAAUCAAGCUUGUUCAACCCAAGGCCAUGGGCCGCAUGUGGCCCAGGAUGGCUUUGAAUGCUGCCCAACACAAAUUUGUAAAAUUUCUUAAAACAUUAUAAGAUGUGUGUGUGUGUGUG